CAGCAGCCGCGGUAAUACGGAGGGUCCGAGCGUUAAUCGGAAUUACUGGGCGUAAAGCGCGCGUAGGCGGUUAGAUCAGUUGGGUGUGAAAGCCCCGGGCUCAACCUGGGAACUGCAUACAAUACUGUCUGACUAGAGUAUGGGAGAGGGCAGUGGAAUUCCACGUGUAGCGGUGAAAUGCGUAGAUAUGUGGAGGAACACCUGUGGCGAAGGCGGCUGCCUGGCCCAAUACUGACGCUGAGGUGCGAAAGCGUGGGUAGCGAACAGGAUUAGAUACCCUGGUAGUCCACGCCGUAAACGAUGUCAACUAGCCGUUGGGGGACUUGAUCCCUUAGUGGCGCAGCUAACGCGAUAAGUUGACCGCCUGGGGAGUACGGCCGCAACGGUAAAACUCAAAUGAAUUGACGGGGGCCCGCACAAGCGGUGGAGCAUGUGGUUUAAUUCGAUGCAACGCGAAGAACCUUACCAGGUCUUGACAUCCUCGGAACUUUCCAGAGAUGGAUCGGUGCCUUCGGGAACCGAGUGAC
rnacentral:rRNA from 1 species